rnacentral:tRNA from 1 species
GCCUCGGUAGCUCAGCCUGGUAGAGCAGCAGCCUUGUAAGCUGCGGGUCGCGGGUUCGAAUCCCGCCCGAGGCU